GAUGAAGAACGUAGCGAAAUGCGAUAAGUAAUGUGAAUUGCAGAAUUCAGUGAAUCAUCGAAUCUUUGAACGCACAUUGCGCCCGCCAGUAUACUGGCGGGCAUGCCUGUUCGAGCGUCAUUUCAACCAUCAAGCCCCCGGGCUUGUGUUGGGGACCUGCGGCUGCCGCAGGCCCUGAAAAGCAGUGGCGGGCUCGCUGUCACACCGAGCGUAGUAGAUUUUAUCUCGCUCAGGGCGUGCUGCGGGUUCCGGCCGUUAAACCACCUUCAUAACCCAAGGUUGACCUCGGAUCAGGUAGGAAGACCCGCUGAACUUAAGCAUAUCAAUAAGCGGAGGA
rnacentral:misc_RNA from 1 species